rnacentral:rRNA from 1 species
GACGAACGCUGGCGGCGUGCUUAACACAUGCAAGUCGAACGGAAAGGCCCUUCGGGGUACUCGAGUGGCGAACGGGUGAGUAACACGUGGGUAACCUGCCCUCAGCUUCGGGAUAACUCCGGGAAACCGGGGCUAAUACCGGAUAUUCAUUGUCUGCCGCAUGGUGGGUGGUGGAAAGUUUUUUCGGCUGGGGAUGGGCCCGCGGCCUAUCAGCUUGUUGGUGGGGUGAUGGCCUACCAAGGCGUCGACGUGUAGCCGGCCUGAGAGGGCGACCGGCCAGACUGGGGCUGGGGCACGGCCCAGACGCAUACGGGAGGCAGCAGUGGGGAAUAUUGCGCAAUGGGCGGAAGCCUGAGGCAGCGGCGCAGCGUGAGGGAUGACGGCCUUCGGGUGGUAUACCUCUUUCAGCAGGGACGAAUGUAGACGGUACCUGUAGAAGAAGCACCGGCCAACUACGUGCCAGCCGCCGCGGUAAGAC